rnacentral:rRNA from 1 species
CAGUCGCCGCGGUAAUACGAAGGGUGCAAGCGUUAAUCGGAAUUACUGGGCGUAAAGCGUGCGUAGGCGGUGAGUUAAGUCUGCUGUGAAAUCCCCGGGCUCAACCUGGGAAUGGCAGUGGAUACUGGCUCGCUAGAGUGUGUCAGAGGAUGGUGGAAUUCCCGGUGUAGCGGUGAAAUGCGUAGAGAUCGGGAGGAACAUCAGUGGCGAAGGCGGCCAUCUGGGACAACACUGACGCUGAGGCACGAAAGCGUGGGGAGCAAACCGGAUUAGAUACCCCCGUAGUCCCUGUCUCUUAUAC